AGCAGCCGCGGUAAUUCCAGCUCCAAUAGCGUAUAUUAAAGUUGUUGCAGUUAAAAAGCUCGUAGUUGAAUUUCAGGCCUGGCUGGACGGUCCGCCCUUCGGGUGAGUACUGUCUGUGGUCGGGUCCUACCUUCUGGCGAAGCGUCCUGGCCUUAACCGGCCGUGGCGGGGAACCAGGACUUUUACUGUGAAAAAAUUAGAGUGUUCAAAGCAGGCAAUCGCUUGGAUACAUUAGCAUGGAGUAAUGGAAUAGGACAAUGGUUCUAUUUGUUGGUUUCUAGGACCGUUGUAAUGAUUAAUAGGGAUAGUUGGGGGCAUUAGUAUUCAAUUGUCAGAGGUGAAAUUCUUGGAUUUAUUGAAGACUAACUACUGCGAAAGCAUUUGCCAAGGAUGUUUUCAUUAAUCAAGAACGAAAGUUAGGGGAUCGAAGACGAUCAGAUACCGUCGUAGUCUUAACCAUAAACUAUGCCGACUAGGAAUCGGGCGAUGUUGAAAAAAUGACGC
rnacentral:rRNA from 1 species